AUCUAAUGAUGAGGGCAUUUAAUGCACAACUUCUUAAAUCACUCCCAGUACUCAUAGAGAGACUCGCUUGGGUGUUGUUUGAUACCGCAUAUCUUUAUCCUUAGGCU